UAGCUUGCUAGAUAUGAUUAGUGGCGGACGGGUGAGUAACAUUUAGGAAUCUGCCUAGUAGUGGGGGAUAGCUCGGGGAAACUCGAAUUAAUACCGCAUACGACCUACGGGUGAAAGGGGGCGCAAGCUCUUGCUAUUAGAUGAGCCUAAAUCAGAUUAGCUAGUUGGUGGGGUAAAGGCCCACCAAGGCGACGAUCUGUAACUGGUCUGAGAGGAUGAUCAGUCACACCGGAACUGAGACACGGUCCGGACUCCUACGGGAGGCAGCAGUGGGGAAUAUUGGACAAUGGGGGCAACCCUGAUCCAGCCAUGCCGCGUGUGUGAAGAAGGCCUUUUGGUUGUAAAGCACUUUAAGCAGGGAGGAGAGGCUAAUGGUUAAUACCCAUUAGAUUAGACGUUACCUGCAGAAUAAGCACCGGCUAACUCUGUGCCAGCAGCCGCGGUAAUACAGAGGGUGCGAGCGUUAAUCGGAAUUACUGGGCGUAAAGCGAGUGUAGGUGGCUCAUUAAGUCACAUGUGAAAUCCCCGGGCUUAACCUGGGAACUGCAUGUGAUACUGGUGGUGCUAGAAUAUGUGAGAGGGAAGUAGAAUUCCAGGUGUAGCGGUGAAAUGCGUAGAGAUCUGGAGGAAUACCGAUGGCGAAGGCAGCUUCCUGGCAUAAUAUUGACACUGAGAUUCGAAAGCGUGGGUAGCAAACAGGAUUAGAUACCCUGGUAGUCCACGCCGUAAACGAUGUCUACUAGCCGUUGGGGUCCUUGAGACUUUAGUGGCGCAGUUAACGCGAUAAGUAGACCGCCUGGGGAGUACGGCCGCAAGGUUAAAACUCAAAUGAAUUGACGGGGGCCCGCACAAGCGGUGGAGCAUGUGGUUUAAUUCGAUGCAACGCGAAGAACCUUACCUGGUCUUGACAUAGUGAGAAUCCUGCAGAGAUGCGGGAGUGCCUUCGGGAAUUCACAUACAGGUGCUGCAUGGCUGUCGUCAGCUCGUGUCGUGAGAUGUUGGGUUAAGUCCCGCAACGAGCGCAACCCUUUUCCUUAUUUGCCAGCGGGUUAAGCCGGGAACUUUAAGGAUACUGCCAGUGACAAACUGGAGGAAGGCGGGGACGACGUCAAGUCAUCAUGGCCCUUACGACCAGGGCUACACACGUGCUACAAUGGUAGGUACAGAGGGUUGCUACACAGCGAUGUGAUGCUAAUCUCAAAAAGCCUAUCGUAGUCCGGAUUGGAGUCUGCAACUCGACUCCAUGAAGUCGGAAUCGCUAGUAAUCGCAGAUCAGAAUGCUGCGGUGAAUACGUUCCCGGGCCUUGUACACACCGCCCGUCACACCAUGGGAGUCUAUUGCACCAGAAGUAGGUAGCCUAACGCAAGAGGG
rnacentral:rRNA from 1 species